GGUCCCAUGGCUUAGAUGGCAAAGCGCCUACCUAGUAAGCAGGAGAUCGUGACUUCGAGUCUCAUUGGGAACU
rnacentral:tRNA from 1 species